rnacentral:rRNA from 1 species
AACGAACGCUGACGGCAUGCCUAACACAUGCAAGUCGAACGAAGGCUUCGGCCUUAGUGGCGCACGGGUGCGUAACGCGUGGGAAUCUGCCCUUGGGUUCGGAAUAACUCAGAGAAAUUUGAGCUAAUACCGGAUGAUGACGUAAGUCCAAAGAUUUAUCGCCCAGGGAUGAGCCCGCGUAAGAUUAGCUAGUUGGUGGGGUAAAGGCCUACCAAGGCGACGAUCUUUAGCUGGUCUGAGAGGAUGAUCAGCCACACUGGGACUGAGACACGGCCCAGACUCCUACGGGAGGCAGCAGUGGGGAAUAUUGGACAAUGGGCGAAAGCCUGAUCCAGCAAUGCCGCGUGAGUGAUGAAGGCCUUAGGGUUGUAAAGCUCUUUUACCAGGGAUGAUAAUGACAGUACCUGGAGAAUAAGCUCCGGCUAACUCCGUG